UACGUAGGGACCAAGCGUUGUUCGGAUUUACUGGGCGUAAAGGGCUCGUAGGCGGCCAACUAAGUCGGAUGUGAAAUCCCCAGGCUCAACCUGGGAACUGCAUCCGAUACUGGAUGGCUUGAAUUCGGGAGAGGGAUGCAGAAUUCCAGGUGUAGCGGUGAAAUGCGUAGAUAUCUGGAGGAAUACCGGUGGCGAAGGCGGCAUCCUGGACCGACAUUGACGCUGAGGAGCGAAAGCCAGGGGAGCAAACGGG
rnacentral:rRNA from 1 species